rnacentral:lncRNA from 1 species
GAGGCGCCCCGUCUGCACCCGACAAGCCCCGUGUUGUUUCUGGAUAUUCCACCGCAUACUUGGCUGCGCGUCCUUCUGUACACACAGCACAUUCUCGAAGCUUACAAAGGUCGAGAACAUUGCUGACGUGGCCCAUGACCGGCUCGUGUGUUCAUCCGGCAGACGCGGAGCACAGCUACAUGCUGAGCAUGCUAUGCAGGACCUGCUUGCCAGCGAGCCCGUGAAAAUCCAGUCCAAGGAACAGGAACAGCUAUCACACAUGGCAAAAAGGCGAGAAAGGCCAUGAGAAACAUAUCAGAAGCAAAGCAGCCCAUGAUAGAUGCCGUGCUGAGGCUCCUCUCCCUAGGCAGCACUGCAUCAGGAAUAAUCCCACACUCAGCAUCCUUGGAAUGAGAAGUAUAAAGAGGAGGAGAAGUUCAUCUCAGAACUUCAAAAAGACCUGCGCUGAAAUCCUCGACUCUACUGCGCUAUGCAGGAGGAGUCUUAGACCCACUUGAUUGAUGAAAACACUCAGACUCAGACCAGGAGCAGACAGGUAGAGAGCCGUGGAACCAGCUUGGAGAAAGCUACUGGCUUAGAGCUCCCACCUCCAGAAGGCCUUUCUCCGUCCGGCCCAUCCAGCCACCACCACCUCACACCCUGCCUCCUGCACUGUCAUCCAUCUGCCCUGAUAGACUGGAAAACACCUUCAACGCAGGAAUUACUCCCCAUGGUAUCCGCAGCACUUAGCCCAGUGCCCAGCACAGAGAAGGGGCUCGAUGAUAGUAGCUGAAUGACUAAAUUCUAUACAUCAGUCACUUGUGAAUUCAUUGUCCAUCCUCCGCCCUGCUCCCGCAACCACUCCACCUGAGCACACAGAUCUUCGUCCAGCCACCAUGGACUCCACAGCCCAUCCAGCUAGGAGCUCAGCCAAGUCUCUGGUGCAGAACAGACACCAUCUCAAUGUCCAGCUGCAGAAUUCCUGAAAUCGCUACCUUGUUACUCAAGGGCAGAUCAUGACUGCACUGUGCUUUUCACUCAGCUGUGGGUAAGGAUGUUGUUUUUCUCUUAUAAGAUGUAAAUUCCUACAGGGCCAUGACCACGUCUUCCGUCCCCUUCACCCCAUGCACCCUACGUGCAGUGCCAUCUAUGUAAAACAACAGUGAUUUCCCACAAAACACUGACUAAUGCUGACAUUUCUAGACAGCAUGAGCCAAUUGUUCAGAUAGCUGGGGUCUGUGCAUUUCACCAUAUGUAACGUUUACCUCAGAAAACAAGGAAGUCAACCUCUUGCAGCAUUUGCUUUCCCAAGUGGCCAGCGUUAGCCAUUCCGAGGCUCCCUUCUGUGCAUUCCAGCUUUGAGCCCAUGAUUAAAUGAGGACAAUGGAGCUGGUUUCCCAUGGCUGGGUAGGGAGUGGUAGCAGGCAAAGUGGGAAGGGCUGAACAUAUCAUGGUGAGGAGCUGGACUGGAGCUCUCUCUACACAUCCAUGGUUCCAGCAUACACAGAGAAACAGAGGUAAACAAGACAGAGCGCCAUCCUCUCUCUCCUGCUCAGAGGGCCAACCAACGGGAGACGCAUGCCACACCAAGGGCAAAGCACACAGCCCAGCUCUAAAUGCACACGUUCGUGGCUUCUCAAUGCCAUUCGCCACUAACAGGAACCAGGCUCCUUGGAGAAAAGGCUAAUUCCAGGACUGGGGCAGGGAGGGCACAGAGUGAGCUUGGGCCCUCUGGUUGUGCUGGAAAGUCAGGACGUGCUCCCAAACAGGUAUGGCAAAAGGGCAGCAUCAGUCAGGAGGCGACCACUCAGCAAGAAACGGCUUGAAGGUAAUGGAUCAAAUGAGCAUGACAGUACUGGGACAAAGCACCGUCGUGUGCUCCUGAUGGGAUUCACUGACAAAGGUGCAUCAUUACCCAAAAUGCCCCAUCUCAGUGUGAAUAUGAGGAAAGACUAGGCAGCUCAAAUUCAGGACAUUCUACUACAUGCAAGGCCAAAACAUUCAGAGACAGAAAGCAGAAGAGCGGUUACCAAGGGCUGGGGAAGGGGAAUGGGGAGUUGGUGUUUAAUGGAGACAGUUUCAGUCUGGGAAGAUGGA